rnacentral:sRNA from 11 species
UGACAGGCCGAGGAACGGUUGCCUCGGAAAAACGACAGCGCAGAAAUAAAUGAAACAAA